rnacentral:rRNA from 1 species
CCUACGGGAGGCAGCAGUGAGGAAUAUUGGUCAAUGGGCGCGAGCCUGAACCAGCCAAGUCGCGUGAGGGAAGACGGUCCUAUGGAUUGUAAACCUCUUUUGUCGGGGAGCAAAAGACGCCACGCGUGGCGUUCCGAGAGUACCCGAACAAAAAGCAUCGGCUAACUCCGUGCCAGCAGCCGCGGUAAUACGGAGGAUGCGAGCGUUAUCCGGAUUUAUUGGGUUUAAAGGGUGCGCAGGCGGAGGUGCAAGUCAGCGGUAAAAUUGCGGGGCUCAACCCCGUACUGCCGUUGAAACUGCAUCCCUUGAGUGCGCGAGAAGUAUGCGGAAUGCGUGGUGUAGCGGUGAAAUGCAUAGAUAUCACGCAGAACUCCGAUUGCGAAGGCAGCAGACCGGCGCGCAACUGACGCUCAUGCACGAAAGCGUGGGUAUCGAACAGGAUUAGAUACCCUGGUAGUC